CCUACGGGGGGCAGCAGUGAGGAAUAUUGGUCAAUGGGCGCGAGCCUGAACCAGCCAAGUAGCGUGAAGAAUGACUGCCCUACGGGUUGUAAACUUCUUUUAUAAAGGAAUAAAGUGAGGCACGUGUGCCUUUUUGUAUGUACUUUAUGAAUAAGGAUCGGCUAACUCCGUGCCAGCAGCCGCGGUAAUACGGAGGAUCCGAGCGUUAUCCGGAUUUAUUGGGUUUAAAGGGAGCGUAGAUGGGUUGUUAAGUCAGUUGUGAAAGUUUGCGGCUCAACCGUAAAAUUGCAGUUGAUACUGGCGGUCUGGAGUAGAGUUGAAGUAGGCGGAAUGCGUGGUGUAGCGGUGAAAUGCUUAGAUAUCACGAAGAACUCCGAUUGCGAAGGCAGCUUACUAAACUGACACUGACAUUGAGGCACGAAAGUGUGGGUAUCGAACAGGAUUAGAUACCCUUGUAGUC
rnacentral:rRNA from 1 species